rnacentral:sRNA from 1 species
UGUGUAUAUUUACAUUUCUGUAGCAUUCUCUAUGGACACGCUCAUCUAGCAUCAUAGACAUCACAGCAUGCAAGCAAACUUCCUAACCAAAGUACCUGUCUCAAUUACAUAAGCCCUGGUUGGAUUUCUAAAUUUUCUCUAUAAAUAGGAAUUCCCUUGGCAGACGUGGUACUUGAAUGGCCCGUGUACUGAGGAAAGCAUUGCAGGACCCUACAGUGUUUUUCCUCUUCUAGGGAUUGAUGUGAAGCAGGUCACAAUUGUUGUGAACUUUGAUCUCCCUGUAAAACAAGGAGAGGAGCCGGACUAUGAGACCUACCUCCACCGCAUAGGGCGGACGGGGCGCUUUGGGAAAAAAGGCCUUGCCUUCAACAUGAUUGAAGUGGAUGAGCUGCCCUCGCUCAUGAAAAUCCAGGACCACUUUAACAGCAGUAUUAAGCAACUCAACGCUGAAGACAUGGAUGAAAUUGAAAAGAUUGACUAUUGAAGAAAGAACUUUAUUGUUUGUGCAGUAUCCUAGUUUAUGUGAGAAUGUCUCAGUGGGUUUUGAAGGUAAUUUUUUUAUGUUGAGGCUUUUUCGACGUGAAACUGUCACAGAUGGCAAAAUAAAUGUCACGGUACUUAGUUUUAAGACAUGAUGUCUUUUUGAAACCAAAUUGAUGUGAAGCUUGUGAUCCUUUUGAAUAAAAAAAAGGCAAGAUUAUUUCUUAUUCUAAUCUUUGUACAGGUAAUGUCUCAAUGUGGGCUAUGGGGGUGUUUUUGGAUUUGGUUGAUGCAAUCUGAGCAGAUCGUGCCUCUUGGGAGCAUCUUACUGUGUCACAAGAGGGCGGUAGAGCUUCGCUGAUGUUGGAAGCGGAGCGAGUAGGAAA